rnacentral:rRNA from 1 species
UCCUACGGGAGGCAGCAGUGGGGAAUAUUGGGCAAUGGGCGCAAGCCUGACCCAGCAACGCCGCGUGAAGGAAGAAGGCUUUCGGGUUGUAAACUUCUUUUCUCAGGGACGAAGCCAGUGACGGUACCUGAGGAAUAAGCCACGGCCAACUACGUGCCAGCAGCCGCGGUAAUACGUAGGUGGCAAGCGUUAUCCGGAUUUACUGGGUGUAAAGGGCGUGUAGGCGGGACUGCAAGUCAGAUGUGAAAACCAUGGGCUCAACCUAUGGCCUGCAUUUGAAACUGGAGUUCUUGAGUACUGGAGAG